AUCGCCCGUCGGAAUGUCAUUCCCCUCUCUACUAGUUUCUCUUGAUUCUGUGUCAGUGUUUUUAUGUCGUGUAUGGAAUAAUUCACCGGGUUUUAUCAUACAAAUCAGCCGAAGCCAUCGGUAUGAUACGCAGAAACUGCUGGGCAGAUGGAAUUCUUUUGACCAUGACACUAACAUUCGAUUCCAGUUCCUCCUGUUUGACCAUCAAUUUCCCUGUUGAUAGACAAGUCCUGUUUGGUGAGGUGGAGGACAGCUGCAAAUUCCAGAACUGCCUAGUCAGUUUGAUGACCGGGAGAAAUCUUUUGGGCCAAAUUUCAAUGCUCAAAGUUCAUCCCAUGUCACUCCUGCAUCAUCCUGUUCUACUUUUCUACCUGGUAAGUAAUGACAAUAUUCUAGAACUACUCUUCCUAAAUAGGAGGAAAUGAGUACAAUUUGCAGAGCUUAAACAGUUA